rnacentral:rRNA from 2 species
UAAUACAUGCAAGUCGAGCGGACAGAAGGGAGCUUGCUCCCGGAUGUUAGCGGCGGACGGGUGAGUAACACGUGGGUAACCUGCCUGUAAGACUGGGAUAACUCCGGGAAACCGGAGCUAAUACCGGAUAGUUCCUUGAACCGCAUGGUUCAAAGGAUGAAAGACGGUUUCGGCUGUCACUUACAGAUGGACCCGCGGCGCAUUAGCUAGUUGGUGAGGUAACGGCUCACCAAGGCGACGAUGCGUAGCCGACCUGAGAGGGUGAUCGGCCACACUGGGACUGAGACACGGCCCAGACUCCUACGGGAGGCAGCAGUAGGGAAUCUUCCGCAAUGGACGAAAGUCUGACGGAGCAACGCCGCGUGAGUGAUGAAGGUUUUCGGAUCGUAAAGCUCUGUUGUUAGGGAAGAACAAGUGCAAGAGUAACUGCUUGCACCUUGACGGUACCUAACCAGAAAGCCACGGCUAACUACGUGCCAGCAGCCGCGGUAAUACGUAGGUGGCAAGCGUUGUCCGGAAUUAUUGGGCGUAAAGGGCUCGCAGGCGGUUUCUUAAGUCUGAUGUGAAAGCCCCCGGCUCAACCGGGGAGGGUCAUUGGAAACUGGGAAACUUGAGUGCAGAAGAGGAGAGUGGAAUUCCACGUGUAGCGGUGAAAUGCGUAGAGAUGUGGAGGAACACCAGUGGCGAAGGCGACUCUCUGGUCUGUAACUGACGCUGAGGAGCGAAAGCGUGGGGAGCGAACAGGAUUAGAUACCCUGGUAGUCCACGCCGUAAACGAUGAGUGCUAAGUGUUAGGGGGUUUCCGCCCCUUAGUGCUGCAGCUAACGCAUUAAGCACUCCGCCUGGGGAGUACGGUCGCAAGACUGAAACUCAAAGGAAUUGACGGGGGCCCGCACAAGCGGUGGAGCAUGUGGUUUAAUUCGAAGCAACGCGAAGAACCUUACCAGGUCUUGACAUCCUCUGACAAACCCUAGAAGAUAGGGCUUUCCCUUCGGGGACAGAGUGACAGGGUGGUUGCAUGGUUGUCGUCAGCUUCGUUGUCGUUGAAGAUUGUUGGGUUAAGUCCCGGCAACGGAGGCCCCAACCCCUUGAUCUUAGUUGCCAGCAUUUCAGUUGGGCACUCCUAAGGUGGACCUGGCCGGGUGACACAACCCGGGAGGAGAGGUUGGGGGUAUACCGUUCAAAAUCACUCUCAUUGCCCCCUUAUAUGAACCCUGGG